rnacentral:rRNA from 2 species
AACGCUAGCUACAGGCUUAACACAUGCAAGUCGAGGGGAAACGACAUCGAAAGCUUGCUUUUGAUGGGCGUCGACCGGCGCACGGGUGAGUAACGCGUAUCCAACCUGCCCACCACUUGGGGAUAACCUUGCGAAAGUAAGACUAAUACCCAAUGAUAUCUCUAGAAGACAUCUGAAAGAGAUUAAAGAUUUAUCGGUGAUGGAUGGGGAUGCGUCUGAUUAGCUUGUUGGCGGGGUAACGGCCCACCAAGGCGACGAUCAGUAGGGGUUCUGAGAGGAAGGUCCCCCACAUUGGAACUGAGACACGGUCCAAACUCCUACGGGAGGCAGCAGUGAGGAAUAUUGGUCAAUGGGCGAGAGCCUGAACCAGCCAAGUAGCGUGCAGGAUGACGGCCCUAUGGGUUGUAAACUGCUUUUAUAAGGGAAUAAAGUGAGUCUCGUGAGACUUUUUGCAUGUACCUUAUGAAUAAGGACCGGCUAAUUCCGUGCCAGCAGCCGCGGUAAUACGGAAGGUCCGGGCGUUAUCCGGAUUUAUUGGGUUUAAAGGGAGCGUAGGCCGGAGAUUAAGCGUGUUGUGAAAUGUAGACGCUCAACGUCUGCACUGCAGCGCGAACUGGUUUCCUUGAGUACGCACAAAGUGGGCGGAAUUCGUGGUGUAGCGGUGAAAUGCUUAGAUAUCACGAAGAACUCCGAUUG